rnacentral:rRNA from 1 species
UACAGAGGGUGCGAGCGUUAAUCGGAAUUACUGGGCGUAAAGGGCGCGUAGGCGGUUAUAUGAGUGUGAUGUGAAAGCCCCGGGCUUAACCUGGGAAGUGCAUCGCAAACGAUAUGACUGGAGUAUAUGAGAGGGUGGCGGAAUUUCCGGUGUAGCGGUGAAAUGCGUAGAGAUCGGAAGGAACGUCGAUGGCGAAGGCAGCCACCUGGCAUAAUACUGACGCUGAGGCGCGAAAGCGUGGGGAGCGAACAGG